rfam:Myotis lucifugus cont2.45761, whole genome shotgun sequence.
GGUGGUUCUCGGGUGACACACCCCGGAAUCGGGCUCCCUCCUCUCUGGUCCCGGUGCGUCACCUGAGAACCGCA